rnacentral:rRNA from 1 species
CGAAAGCCUGACGGAGCAACGCCGCGUGGGGGAUGAAGGCCUCUGGGCUGUAAACCUCUUUUCUCAAGGAAGAAGAACUGACGGUACUUGAGGAAUAAGCCACGGCUAAUUCCGUGCCAGCAGCCGCGGUAAUGCGGAAGAGGCAAGCGUUAUCCGGAAUUAUUGGGCGUAAAGCGUCCGCAGGCGGCCUUGCAAGUCUGCUGUCAAAGAGUGAAGCUCAACUCCUUUUAAGCGAUGGAAACUGGAAAGCUAGAGUGUGGUAGGGGUUGAGGGAAUUCCCGGUGUAGCGGUGAAAUGCGUAGAUAUCGGGAAGAACACCAGUGGCGAAGGCGCUCUGCUGGGCCGUAACUGACGCUGAUGGACGAAAGCUAGGGGAGCG